rnacentral:rRNA from 1 species
GGGAGGGGAGUGAAAUAGAACCUGAAACCGCAUGCAUACAAACAGUAGGAGCCUCAUCAGAGGUGACUGCGUACCUUUUGCAUAAUGGGUCAGCGACUUACAUUCUGUGGCGAGCUUAACCGAAUAGGGGAGGCGCAGCGAAAGCGAGUUCGAAAUGAGCGUCCAGUCGCAGGGUGUAGACCCGAAACCAGAUGAGCUAUCCAUGGCCAGGUUGAAGGUGUGGUAACACACACUGGAGGACCGAACCGACUAGUGUUGCAAAAUUAGCGGAUGAGCUGUGGAUAGGGGUGAAAGGCCAAACAAAUCUGGAGAUAGCUGGUUCUCCCCGAAAACUAUUGAGGUAGUGCCUCGUGUGUCGCUCCAGGGGGUAGAGCACUGUUUUGGCUAGGGGGACAUGGAGUCUUACCAAACCAAGGCAAACUCCGAAUACCUGGAAGCGUAAGCACGGGAGACAGAGCACCGGGUGCUAACGUCCGGACUCAAAAGGGAAACAACCCAGACCGCCGGCUAAGGUCCCCAAUAACAGCUAAGUGGAAAACGAAGUGGAAAGGCCGUGACAACCAGGAAGUUGGCUUAGAAGCAGCCAUCCUUCAAAGAAAGCGUAAUAGCUCACUGGUCGAGUCCUUCUGCGCGGAAGAUGUAACGGGGCUAAGCUGUUAACCGAAGCCGCGGAUGCACUGAUUAUUCAGUGCGUGGUAGGGGAGCGUUCUGUAAGUCUGCGAAGGCGGUUCGAGAGGACUGCUGGAGAUAUCAGAAGUGCGAAUGCUGACAUGAGUAACGUUAAAGCAGGUGAAAAGCCUGCUCGCCGUAAGCCCAAGGAUUCCUGCUCUACGUUCAUCGGAGCAGGGUGAGUCGGCUCCUAAGGUCAGGCCGAAAGGCGUAGCCGAUGGGAAUCAGGUUAAUAUUCCUGAACCUGCGUCAGAUGCGAUGGGGGGACGGAGCAUGAAAGAUCAUCCGGGUGUUGGAUGUCCCGGUUGACGAGCGUAGGAGGUCUGCAGGCAAAUCCGCAGACGCAUCUCCAAGGCGAAGUCACGUGCCGCCACGGCGGCGAAGUGAUCGGAAGUGCUUCCAAGAAAAGCCUCUAAGCACCAGUCUGACGCGGACCGUACCGCAAACCGACACUGGUGGGCGAGCUGAAUAUGCUCAGGCGCUUGAGAGAACUCGGGAGAAGGAACUCGGCAAAUUGACACCGUAACUUCGGAAGAAGGUGUGCCGUAGUACCGUGAGAGGAGAGACACCUUGAGCGGGAAUCGGUCUCAGAGAAUAGGUGGCUGCGACUGUUUAUUAAAAACACAGCACUCUGCAAAGUCGAAAGACGACGUAUAGGGUGUGAUGCCUGCCCGGUGCUGGAAGAUUAAUUGAUGGGGUGAGAGCCCUUGAUCGAAGUCCCAGUAAACGGCGGCCGUAACUAUAACGGUCCUAAGGUAGCGAAAUUCCUUGUCGGGUAAGUUCCGACCUGCACGAAUGGCAUAACGAUGGCCACACUGUCUCCUCCCGAGACUCAGUGAAGUUGAAAUGUUUGUGAUGAUGCAAUCUACCCGCGGCUAGACGGAAAGACCCCAUGAACCUUUACUGCAGCUUUGCAUUGAACUGUGAACCGAUUUGUGUAGGAUAGGUGGGAGGCAGAGAAGAGGCCACGCCAGUGGUCUUGGAGCCGACCUUGAAAUACCACCCUGAUUUGUUUGCGGUUCUAACCACGGACAGUGAUCCUGUCUUGGGACCGUGCAUGGUAGGCAGUUUGACUGGGGCGGUCUCCUCCUAAAGGGUAACGGAGGAGUACGAAGGUACGCUAGGUACGGUCGGAAAUCGUGCUGAUAGUGCAAUGGCAAAAGCGUGCUUGACUGCGAGAGCAACAACUCGAGCAGAUGCGAAAGCAGGUCAUAGUGAUCCGGUGGCUCUGAAUGGAAGGGCCAUCGCUCAACGGA